AUGGUGAGCGCCUUGGCAGGGGUAAUGACCUCUGUCAUCGGCAAGCUCACCGUGCUGCUCGGGGAGGAGUAUGCAAAGCUGAAGGGUGUGCAUAGGGAGGUAGAGUUCAUGAAAGAUGAACUGAGCAGCAUGAACGCCCUCCUUCAGAGACUGGCAGAUGUGGACCGUGAUAUUGAUGUGCAGACCAAGGAAUGGAGGAACCAAGUCCGGGAGAUGUCUUAUGACAUCGAGGAUUGCAUUGACGACUUUAUGAAAAGCCUUGGCCAAACUGACAUGUCUAAGGCUGUAGGUCUUGUCCAAAGUGUGCUCCAGCAGCUCAACGCACUGAGGGCACGCCAUCAAAUCUCCAGCCAAAUCCAGGGACUUAAGGCGCGUGUUGAAAAUGCAAGCAAGCGACGUAUGAGGUAUAAGCUUGAUGAGCGCACCUUCGAGACUAGCACCUCAAGGGCCAUUGACCCUCGUUUACCUUCACUCUAUGCUGAACCGGAUGGGCUUGUCGGUAUUGACCAGCCAAGAGAUGAGCUCAUCAAGUGCCUAAUGGAGGGUGUGGGUGCAUCAGUGCAGCGGCUAAAGGUCAUAUCCAUUGUGGGUUUUGGAGGUCUCGGUAAAACUACCCUUGCGAAUGAGGUGUACUGUAAACUGGAAGGCCAGUUCCAGUGUCGAGCUUUUGUUUCAUUGUCACAGCAACCAGAUGUGAAUAAGAUCUUAAGAAAUAUACUCUCUCAAGUUUGCCCACAAGAGUUUCCUAGCACAGAUAUAUGGGACGAGGGAAAGCUCAUUGACGCAAUCAGAGAUGUUUUAAAGAACAAGAGGUACUUAGUCGUCAUUGAUGAUAUAUGGAGUACUCAAGCUUGGAGGAUUAUCAAAUGUUCCUUGUGUGUGAAUGAUCUGGGAAGCAGAAUAAUCACGACAACACGUAGUAUUGAUAUAGCCAAGUCAUGUUGCUCUCCUCACCAUGAUCGUGUCUAUGAAAUAAUGCCUCUUACAACAGCUAACUCUAAGAGUUUAUUUUUCAAACGAAUAUUUGGCUCGGGAGAUAUAUGUCCUCCUCGACUGGAGGAGGUCUCGUCGGAAAUAUUGAAAAAAUGUGGUGGUUCUCCAUUAGCGAUUCUUACAAUAGCAGGCUUAUUGGCUAAUAAAGGUAGUACAAAUGAAGAAUGGGAGUCGGUGUAUAAUUCAAUCGGUUCGACAUUGGAGAAGGAUCCUGGUGUAGAAGAGAUGAGAAGGAUAUUAUCUUUUAGCUAUGAUGAUCUUCCCCACCAUUUGAAGACAUGUUUGCUGUAUCUAAGUGUAUUUCCGGAGGAUUAUGAGAUUGAGAAGGAUCGAUUGAUAAGGAGGUGGAUCGCUGAAGGAUUCAUUAAUACUGAUGGUGGGCAAGAUUUGGAGGAGGUAGGAGAGUGCUAUUUUAAUGAUCUUAUUAAUAGGAGCAUGCUUCAGCCAGUGAAAAUCCAAUAUGACGGUCGAGUCGAUUCAUGCCGAGUCCAUGAUAUGAUUCUUGAUCUCCUUACAUCUAAGUCAACUGAAGAAAACUUUGCCACCUUCUUUGGUGACCAAAAACAGAAAUUCAUGCUUCAGCAUAAGAUCCGCAGGCUAUCCCUCAAUUAUUAUUCCCAAGAGCACAUCAUGGUUCCAUCAACAGCAAUCAUUUCUCAUUGUCGAUCACUCAGUAUUGUUGGGUAUGCUGAAAAGAUGCCUUCACUUUCGAAGUUUCUAUUUCUGCGAGUACUUGAUAUUGAAAAUGGCGAGGAGAUGGAGAGCAAUUGCUUUGAACAUGUGAGGAAGCUGUUUCAGUUGAAGUAUUUACGACUCAAUGUUAGAAGCAUUUCUGCACUCCCUGAACAAUUAGGAGAACUACAGCAUUUGAGGACUCUGGAUAUGGGGUGUACGAAGAUAAGGAAAAUGCCCAAAAGCAUUGUUCAGCUGCAACAUUUAACAUGUUUGCGUGUCAGUAAUCUGGAAUUACCCAAAGGAAUUGGGAAUCUGCAAGCCCUGCAGGAGCUAUCAGACAUCAAAGUCAACCGGGACAGCCUGGCAUCUUGUUUGUUGGAGCUGGGCAAUCUGACUAAACUGAGGAUUCUUGGGCUAUGCUGGUGCCUUGUUGAUGUGCACAGCAAUAAAGAAAUUUUAAUGGAUAACUUGGUCUCAUCGCUCUGCAGGCUGGGAAGACUCAACCUUCGAUCCCUGAGUAUUCAAAGCAACUACAGAUAUUCGCGCAUAGAUUUCUUGUUGGAUUCUUGGUUCCCUUCCCCUUAUCUCCUCCAGAAGUUUCAGAUGGGCAUGUUCUAUUUCUUCCCCAGAGUGCCAGCUUGGGUUGCAUCACUUAACAAGCUCACCUACCUGGAUAUCAAUAUUGAUCCAGUAGAAGAGGGUGCACUGGAGAUCCUUGGAGAUUUGCCUGCUUUGCUGUUUCUAUGGUUGACAUCAAGAUCAGCUGCUCCUGAGCAAAGGCUCAUCGUAAGUAGCGACAUGUUCAUAAGCCUAAAGGAGUUCUACUUCACCUGUUGGAGCAAUGGGGAAGGCCUGAUCUUCGAAUCUGGGGCCAUGCCAGGGCUUGAGAAGCUGCGGCUUCCAUUUGAUGCAGGCAGUGGUCUUGAUUUUGGCAUCCAGCACCUCUCUUCCCUCAGGCAUCUUGCUGUUGAGAUCAUUUGCAUCGGCGCGACGGUUCGGGAUGUGGAGGCGUUGGAGGAGGCCAUCAGGAACACGGCGGAUCUCCUUCCGUACCACCCCACACUGGAAAUACGAACGUGGGAUGACGAACAUAUUGUGAAGGAGGAGCAAGGCAAUGCCGAAGAGGAGAUCCAGGCAAGCGGCUGA
rnacentral:rRNA from 1 species